UACAGAGGUCCCAAGCGUUGUUCGGAUUCAUUGGGCGUAAAGGGUGCGUAGGCGGCGCGGUAAGUCGGGUGUGAAAUCUCGGGGGCUUAACUCCGAAACUGCAUUCGAUACUGCCGUGCUUGAGGACUGGAGAGGAGACUGGAAUUACGGUGUAGCGGUGAAAUGCGUAGAUAUCGUAAGGAAGACCAGUGGCGAAGGCGGGUCUCUGGACAGUUCCUGACGCUGAGGCACGAAGGUCAGGGGAGCAAACGGG
rnacentral:rRNA from 1 species